UUUAGCUCAAAAAAUGCUUUACAUUUCUUAUCAAGAAAUCUCUGGCUCACAUAUUUCUGUCGAAAUUCAAUUUGGAAGAACUCCCAAUCUACUCAAUCUCUUGGAACAACUGCAACUAAGGUAUUUCACCACUGAUAAGCCAAUUCUUUCAACAAUGAUACAGCACACUUCAAUCAUUCCAUUGGUGUACAUGAUAAUUCAUUGAAAACUCUGAUCGUAUUUUCUAACCAGAAUUUAGCUCUUUCAGGAUUAUCUUUGGACGUACC
rnacentral:lncRNA from 1 species